GUGUUUAUAGUAUAACAAAUACCCUUACUUUUCACGUAAGAAAUACAUUUCAUUGUUAGACACA
rnacentral:tRNA from 1 species